UACGUAGGGUGCAAGCGUUAAUCGGAAUUACUGGGCGUAAAGGGCUCGUAGGCGGCCAACUAAGUCAGACGUGAAAUCCCUCGGCUUAACCGGGGAACUGCGUCUGAUACUGGAUGGCUUGAGUUUGGGAGAGGGAUGCGGAAUUCCAGGUGUAGCGGUGAAAUGCGUAGAUAUCUGGAGGAACACCGGUGGCGAAGGCGGCAUCCUGGACCAACACUGACGCUGAUGAGCGAAAGCUAGGGGAGCAAACGGG
rnacentral:rRNA from 1 species